CAUAUAAGAUGACUUUGUGUAAAUUAUGGAAAGGUAGCCUCUUCAAAGAGGCUGCCUUUCCUGGCCCAUUUAAUCCUGUCAGCAGGAGACCUUUGUGCAGGAUGCAACCUGCACAGCCUCGCAUAGGAGGCUUGGCCCAUUCCACUUGAUUGUUGUUAUUCUCUUGAACUGCUUGGCAUGUUGCCGUUCCCAAAAGGUUACCUCUGUUCUAGUCAGUCCUAGCAUUUAUAUCCAAUUUCCUCAAAAGAAAGGCCUUCUCAGUUAAUGAAUCACAUAGUCCAUGCUUUCUUUCCUUUGACUCCCAGAACCUUGAUAUUUGGUCCUUCCACUUCUGGGGGCCUUAUUUAUUCUUGCAUCGAGAUGCCUGAUCCUUUGCACUGUCUCCAUAAUUUACCUGAAUGUCUGGCUUCCUGCCUCCUGCCCUCACUUGCCUGAAGCAGAGUUGUAUUUGAGGCGAAGAGCCUGCAGCGUGGAGUUGCUUAAAAGGCAUCCUUCCGCUCUUCCUAAGCCGGCGCUCGGCAAGUUCUCCCAGGAGAAGGCCAUGUUCAGUUCGAGCGCCAAGAUCUUGAUGGCGAGAAGCCGGACGAGUUCGAGUUCCGCAUCUCCCAGGCUCUUCUGGAGCUGCAGAUGAACUCGGACCUCAAGGCUCAGCUCAGGGAGCUGAAUAUUAUGGCAGCCAAGGAAAUUGAGGUUGGUGGUGGUCAGAAAGCUAUCAUAAUCUUUGUUCUCGUUCCUCAACUGAAAUCUUUCCAGAAAAUCCAAGUUCAGCUAGUACGCGAAUUGGAGAAAAAGUUCAGUGGGAAGCAUGUUGUCUUUAUCACUCAGAGGAGAAUUCUGCCUAAGCCAACUCGAAAAAGCUGUACAAAAAAUAAGCAAAAGCGUCCCAGGAGUCGUACUCUGACAGCUGUGCACGAUGCCAUCCUUGAGGACUUGGUCUUCCCAAGCAAAAUUGUGGGCAAGAGAAUCCGCGUGAAACUAGAUGGCAGCUGGCUCAUGAAGGUUCAUUUGGACAAAGCACAGCAGAACAAUGUGGAACACAAGGUUGAAACUUUUUCUGGUGUCUAGAAGAAGCUCAUGGGCAAGGAUGUUAAUUUUGAAUUCCCAGAGUUUCAAUUGUAAACAAAAAUGACUAAAUAAAAAAUAUAUAUUCACAGU